rnacentral:rRNA from 1 species
UACGUAGGGUGCGAGCGUUGUCCGGAAUUAUUGGGCGUAAAGAGCUCGUAGGCGGUUUGUCGCGUCGGCUGUGAAAACCCGAGGCUCAACCUCGGGCCUGCAGUCGAUACGGGCAAACUAGAGUGCGGUAGGGGAGACUGGAAUUCCUGGUGUAGCGGUGAAAUGCGCAGAUAUCAGGAGGAACACCGGCGGCGAAGGCGGGUCUCUGGGCCGUAACUGACGCUGAGGAGCGAAAGCGUGGGGAGCGAACAGG